GAUGAACGCUGGCGGCGUGCCUAAUACAUGCCAGUCGAGCGAACAGACGAGGAGCUUGCUCCUCUGACGUUAGCGGCGGACGGGUGAGUAACACGUGGAUAACCUACCUAUAAGACUGGGAUAACUUCGGGAAACCGGAGCUAAUACCGGAUAAUAUAUUGAACCGCAUGGUUCAAUAGUGAAAGACGGUUUUGCUGUCACUUAUAGAUGGAUCCGCGCCGCAUUAGCUAGUUGGUAAGGUAACGGCUUACCAAGGCAACGAUGCGUAGCCGACCUGAGAGGGUGAUCGGCCACACUGGAACUGAGACACGGUCCAGACUCCUACGGAGGCAGCAGUAGGGAAUCUUCCGCAAUGGGCGAAAGCCUGACGGAGCAUCGCCGCGUGAGUGAUGAAGGUCUUCGGAUCGUAAAACUCUGUUAUUAGGGAAGAACAAAUGUGUAAGUAACUAUGCACGUCUUGACGGUACCUAAUCAGAAAGCCACGGCUAACUACGUG
rnacentral:rRNA from 1 species